rnacentral:lncRNA from 1 species
UGAAAUGGAUGGCUGGGAUGAGGGAAAGGUUUUUGGUGUGUGUAUGUGUAUGAGAAGAAGAAACAGAAAACAGAAAAGAAGAAGAGACUGGGCAGAAAUGCCCAAUCGGAGAAGAAGAAGGUGAGAGCAAACCAGAAGAAGGGAGAGGAAGAAGCUGACCAAUCAGGGGACGGAAAGGAGGGAAAGGAGGGAGAGUGGUGCGCGGGGGAACAGGAGGAAUGGGUCACCCUUGACCCGCGCGACCCAAGCUUCCAAAUCGGCGGGUUUUCGCCAUUUCCGUCCAAAUUUCCGACGAAUUGAGUCAAGGUACCACUCCUAAUCAUCAUCUAGGCCUUCCCUCUUUACGUUUCACCCCAAGAAUCAUUGAAUUUCGUUGUGAUUUCGCGAAGAACACCCCUACGGGUGCCGCGACCCUUUUGUUUAAAUUCUCCAAAUUUUGAAAUGUUUUCUUUCAAUUACUAACACCUUUAGCAUUCCUUUAGGACCUAGAACAAAGCCCAAGAGGUAAUUGAGGCGUUGGAACAAGUUUGAAGGUCGAAUUGGAAACACCCAAAUUCUAGGGUUCUUCACGGUUUUGGUGAAAUUGAAGCACUUCCAGGCCAAAUUGGCCUUGGUCUCAGGUAUGAAAGUUGUUCUACUCAUUGAGAUCUUCAAAUCUGCAAAUUUUUGGUAAUUUUUGGAAAUAGUUGAAUUUUCCGGCGAGCCGGGGGCGGCCAACCGCCACCCGCGGCGGCCCGCGCGGCGGCGCGUGGCCAAUGGCCGCCAAUGUCAUUAUUAGCUUGUGAUUAAAGGUUCUAGGUUUCUGUUUUGAUAAUUGAUGGACGUAAAUUGAAUAAUUGAACCUAAGUUGGUUACGAUUCGGGGUUAGGUGAAAAUGUGAAUUGACGAUCCGACCGUUGGAUCGUCAUCAAACUUUGAUACGUUGUAAUACGUAAUAUUUGAGGAUUAUAGGAACUUACGGAUUGGGAAUCCGAUUUACGGAUAUUCCGGAAUUGGAAUUGUAAGUUCAUAAAAUAGAAUGUUAACCGUCACUUAGUUUUGGAAAUUGACGGAGAUCCGACCGUUGGAUGGUAACGAAAUUUUAGGAUGUUGUCCUAGAGGUAUAUUGUGGACCUCUGGAAGUUUCGGAUUUGAAAUCUGAAUUGCAGAUCAUCCGGAUCGAACUACGUAGUGACGUGUCUUCUAUAAGUUAUGUAUUCUAUCGGCAGGAUUUCUGAGGUUGGGUUUGAUUAUUGUUCUAGGUGCUAAUCUUCAUGACGCCUUGAUGUGUGGUGCGAGGGAGUUGUUGAGCGAACUCCAGGUGAGUGGGCAGUUUUGUUUUCGUAUUACCUUUAUACUAUAAAUUUUUCCCAGAAGAUGAAUUUAUACGAAAUUAUGUUGAAAAUGCCAUGCAUAGAAUUAUUUGGAAAAUGUGAAUUUCAUAUGAGUUAUAUGAUUGAUAUAUGAUGCAUACAUGUUGCAUGGUGCUGUGGAGGCACAGGUAAGUCAGGUGAGUUCAUUAUUCAUUUAAUUGAUUGUUGAUAAGAUGUUUCAAGCUCAUAACCUGCACCCUAGGUGUUAGUGCUUAUUUUAUUCACCACACCGCACGCUCGCCUUGGAUCCAAGUAGGUGGAUGUCGUACAGACCAUGUGAGGGUUCCGACAUGCUAGUCGUAUAGAUCACUAGGCGUGAUUCCGACUAGUGGGUGAUCUUAGUUAUGCGCGCUGAUGAUAUGAUGAGAGAAGCACUAGAGCGUAUUUUUACACCUUUCAUCGUACAGACUACCUUACGUAGUUCCGAGUGAUGUGCAGAGUAGGGCCGUAUAGGUCACUGUGGUGACUCCGGCUUAGUGAGAUAUUGAGCUAUUGAAUUAAUCGUAUAGGACCAACUGCAGGGUCUCCGAUUGAUUCCUUAUUUCACCUGAUUUAUAUUUUGAUUUAUGGCAUGGCAUGUUUUUCUUGAAAAAUGUUAAAGAUUUGGGAUUCAAGUUUUGAGAUUUCAUAUGGUUAUAUAUAUAUAUUUUUCUGAAAAGUGUUAAAGGUUUGAGAUUUGAGAUUUUUGCUUAUAUAUAUGUUUAUACAUAUGCUAUUUUCUGGGAAAGUAUACAGGUUUUACGGUGAGGGGUUAGAAAUAUUUUAAAUGAAAAGUUUUCGAAAAACUUUGUUUUACUGACCCACUCAAUUUUGUUUUGCGCCCCUCCAGGUUCAAGUUAGCAGAGCUUUGGUGGCCACGAGGAAUCCAACGGUGUUCUGACAGAAUUCACAAAAGUAGGACUCACCCUCGGGUGUGUCAUCUUAGUAAUUGGAAAUUUUUUUUUAAAGCUUCUGAACUAUGUAAAUGGUUACGUCACUCUCACGUGACGGCCAGCACGCCCUCCUUCGGGACGGGGUGUGUCAAUUUUAGUUUAUAUGACAAAGUACAAAAAAUAUAUAAAUUUAUAUGAAAUUUAAAUAAAAAUAUAAAAUCCUAUGCCUCCUCUUACAAUAAUUUGCCAAUUUGGUACCAAAGCUUGACUU